GGAGCAGCGGCGCACGGGCGGGAGGAGCAGCACAGCAGAGCAGGGGCGGAAGGAGCAGCAGGGCAAGGGCGUCACGAGCAGCAGAGCAGAGCAGGGGCGGAAGGAGCAGCGGCGCGGGAGCGGAAGGAGCAGCCGAGCGGCGGAGGGGCGGAAGGUACUGAACAUGCCAACCUCACGGGUUAGUUGACAGAAGUGUGUGGGUAUUCCCGGUCAAACACUCAGCCUAGGGCCAGCCGCUACCAGCACUCCACUCUGAUGACUGCAGGGACGUGGUUCAUAUCCAUAAAACCAAAAGGUGACACGGAGACGUGGGCCUCCCCAUCUGGAGGUGCGGACAGAUCCCACAGUUGGGUAGAGACGCUUGGGAUGGAGGAACUGGGCCUGGUGUUAGAGCAGCUGGGGUUCUGCAAACGUCGCCACUGUCCAGGGAGAAGACGUGGAGAAAACCGAGGCCACCCGAGACUGAACCCAGGGAACGAGUACAUAACGGAGGUGCCAGGUGGAGGGCAGGCGACAGUGGAGGGUGGGGUGGUGGACGGGAAUCGGGAGGGGCAGGGUGCUCAGAGGACAUCCUUGCUUAGCGGAAGCCACAGGAUUUGCCGGGAAUAAGCGGGAAGUAAAAGCCAUACCCCCUUCUAACAGGGUGUGCGUGCUGCUGAGAGAUCAUCUGUGUCAUUCCCCAGCACAAUUUGGUAGUAAGAAUUGAAGUUGUUUUCACCUUUCACAGCAUCAAACAACACUGAAUUAUUAUGGUGACGGGGUUUCCAGAUGGUUCUAUGAGAGAUAAUGUAAUUUAACCAAAAUGGAGGCCCACUCUUCACCUUAGCUGGUGUGUGCAGAUGAGAGAAUCGCAGGCUCGGACUUGGGACUGGUCGCGGAGGAUCCUGUGGUCUACACCCGGGUUUCAGCAGCUCCUGAAGUAAAAAUGUGCUUGCGGAGAGCCCGCCUGUCUUUGGGGAAGCACAGUGGAACUCUGGAGGCUGGAUGCUGCCUGUCGCCUCAGUCACUCUCUGUGACUGAGCAAUUUGCUUAACUCCGAGGCACAGUUUUUCAUCUGCCAUGUGGGGCUAGAGUCCUCCCCCACAAAUGAAGCAAUGCACGCAGAAGUCUGCUGGCUUCAAGAGCCAAGCAACUCUUAAAUCCUCUCACUAGUAAAAACCUUUUAUAAACAAGAUAUUUUAAAACAAUUCAGUAGUUGGUCUUCACUGAAUACUAUUUAUUUCCUCAUUUAUCCAAAGGGAGAACAUGUUUUUGAAAGAUUAUAAAAGGUUGCAGUGCAGUAUUGAAAGCAAAUGGCAAGAUGAUGUCUUUUCAGGAGAUUAUAAAAUAACUUGAGCUUUUAAAAUAUAAAGUAUAGGCCUGAACCUAAAAGUAUAAUUUGGCCAGACAGAAUUGCGGGGAGUUUGCCUACUCAUCCCGCAUUUUGCAACACGAAACCAACCUCCCUCUCCAGGUUUCCUGCCCUCCCGGCCCUGUGGCCGCACCAAUCGUGCAGGCUGCCACGCCUGCCUUGCCUGGGCUGACUUCACAGCAGGAGAAUGUGCCUCCGUGUCCUCUGCAACGGGCCUCCAGGGCACAGCCUCUAGGAACACCAGGAGCUUGAGGCACAACACUUACGGGCAACUUGAAAAGCUCGCCAGUCUGACAUUGGGUGACCCCAGCGAUGUCACGGCACCCACUCUCUUCCAAGAGACCCUUGGCAAUUAAUUUUUCCAGGACUCAUCCGUCCAAAAUCAAUACAAAGCAAAAAACAAGACCUUUAACCUUAAAAUGCUGUUAAGCUUCUAUUAUCCUAAUCUCCACUCUCAGACUCCUAGAAGGCGGCCAUGUGUCUGCCCUGCCUCCUCACACCUGCUUACCCCUUACCUCACUACAGUACCUGGUGUUCACCCUGCCCUUCUAACAGUCUCUACAGCCUUGUCAAGGUGUAGUCCACUGACGGGCAGCAUCAGUGCCAUCUGGAAGCUUUUAUACAAAA